AGUGAACGCUGGCGGUAGGCCUAACACAUGCAAGUCGAACGGCAGCACAGUAAGAGCUUGCUCUUACGGGUGGCGAGUGGCGGACGGGUGAGGAAUACAUCGGAAUCUACUUUUUCGUGGGGGAUAACGUAGGGAAACUUACGCUAAUACCGCAUACGACCUACGGGUGAAAUCAGGGGAUCUUCGGACCUUUCGCGAUUGAAUGAGCCGAUGUCGGAUUAGCUAGUUGGCUGGGUAAAGGCCCACCAAGGCGACGAUCCGUAGCUGGUCUGAGAGGAUGAUCAGCCACACUGGAAGUGAGACACGGUCCAGACUCCUACGGGAGGCAGCAGUGGGGAAUAUUGGACAAUGGGCGAAAGCCUGAUACAGCCAUACCGCGUGGGUGAAGAAGGCCUUCGGGUUGUAAAGCCCUUUUGUUGGGAAAGAAAAGCAGCAGGUUAAUACCCAGCUGUUCUGACGGUACCCAAAGAAUAAGCACCGGCUAACUUCGUG
rnacentral:rRNA from 1 species